rnacentral:lncRNA from 1 species
UAAGGCCUAAAACAUCAUUGAAAUCUCUAAAACCCCAUAUGUUUCGUGAAGCCGUAAUUUUUAUUCCUCUCUCUAAGCAUAUUGACGUGAUCACAUGAAAAUAGAAAAAAAUUAGAAAUAACAAAUGAAAAAAAAGUUAGAAGGAAUCCAAAGGACUAGUGCAGAUCUCAUGCUGGAAAGUGAGCAAUCUCCAUUACAAAGCAUUCUAACCUCCAUUCUUCCUUAUCUUGUUUCUUGAAGGUUUUUGUUCGCUUGUCUUGCAAUAGUGAAUUAAUCAGUUCUUGUUCUUAAACUGCUGCUUCGAUUAAUCAAAAUAGAUGGACAGAAAGAGCAGGGAGGGGCUUUGAACGAACGGAGGAGGAGAGAGACUAUCAAUUCUGUUUUAGGGUCCCAUGUACAAAAAUGGUGUGUUUGAUUAUUUUAUCUAUUGGCGGUUAAGUUAAAGUUAACCUAUGUAGCAUAGGUUAAUUUCACAAUUAAAGUUUUUUAUUGGUUAAUGUAGUUCUAAUUUAAAUUAAUAUACAGAAAAUUUAUUAAGACUAGUUAAUAUUUUAUAUACACAAAAUUAUAUAUAUAUAUAUAUAUUGGAGCUCAAAGGGAGACUUAUUAAUUCUGAAGAAUGAGCUCCAUAUGAUUUGUUAUAAUGAUUAACAAUUGUAAAAAUUUUUAAAUUGGAUGAAAAUUCAUUAUUAUUUAAUGGAUUGACC